AAUGAUGAGUCACAAGAUCAUGAUGAACAUGAAUAUUAUGAUGAUGAUGACAGUGACUUCGAUCUUGAUGAUGCAAUGAGACAUUUUGGUCUUAUGGCAAAUCUUCGGGGAUAUGAAUCAGGAGGAAAGGAAUGGGUUCUUGAUAGUGGAUGCACUGAUCACAUGACCGGAGAUGAAGAGAUGUUUUGUGAGCUUGCUGAAAAUGACGACCCUCGAAAAUAUGUCACCUUUGGUGAUAAUUCAAAGGGUAAAGUGCUUGGCCUUGGUAAGGUGGCCAUCUCACAUGAUAGUUCCAUUCAAAAUGUCAUGCUUGUUGAAUCUCUUGGCUACAACUUACUUUCAGUAUCUAGACUUGCUGAUUUCGGUUUGAAUGUCCUAUUUACUGAGGUAGAUUGCCAAGUAUUUUGUCGAGACAAUCAUAAAAUGGUCUUUACGGGUAUGCGUAGAGGUGAUCUUUACAUUGUCGAUUUCUCUAAAAAGGCACAACCUAAAACUUGCUUUGUUGCUAAAUCCUCAAAAGGUUGGUUGUGGCAUAGACGACUAGGCCACGUUGGCAUGACAAACCUUGACAAGCUUAUUAAAGGAAAUCAUAUCCUUGGAGUCAACGAUGUCAUAUUUGAUAAGGAUAGACUUUGCAGUGCUUGUCAAGUAGGCAAACAGGUUGGAGGAAGACAUCCCGUAAAAAACAUCAUGACCACAAGGAGGCCACUCGAGCUACUUCACAUGGAUCUUUUUGGUCCCAAUGCCUACAAGAGUCUCGGUGGAAAUUCUUUUGGUUUAGUUAUAGUUGAUGAUUUUUCAAGAUUUACGUGGGUGUUCUUUCUUAAUGACAAGUCACAGGUCCAGAAGAUCUUCAGAAACUUCGCUAGGAAGGCCCAAAAUCAGUUUGAUGUGAAGAUCAAGAAGGUUUGGAGUGACAACGUAACGGAGUUCAAGAACGCAAAUGCGGACACCUUUCUUGACGAAGAAAGGAUUUCACACGAGUUCUCGGCUACGUACACACCUCAACAAAAUGGAGUUGUUGAGAGGAAGAACCGGACGCUCAUCGAAAUGGCAAGAACGAUGCUUGAUGAAUACAAGACGCCAAAGCACUUUUGG
rnacentral:rRNA from 1 species